rnacentral:lncRNA from 1 species
CCUGCCUGCCUGCCUCUCCGCCUCAGCCAACCCGGGCUGUGCCGAGCUGCUCCCUGCGGGAUCAGAGCGCUCCCCCGCCGGGACCCUUCUCUCACAUCCCCCUGCUGGGACGCGGCUACAUUUCCAGCCAAGCACUGCCUGCCUUGGCUUUAUUAUGUGUGUCUGCGCCGCAGCCCCGCCAGCAGAGGCAGGCAGAGGAGGAGGAGGAGGAGGAGGAAGACUGGUAGCCAGAGUCAGGACAAAGAAAAAGCAGGGAGACAGAGGCUAGUGGAGGGUUAGGCUGGAGCAGACACUCACACCGGAGGCAGGACUGGGGGGGUCACAAAAAAAAAAAAAAAAACCGAAAGCCGGGGGAGUUUAAAGCAGCAUUCCCAUCGGGGGGGCGGACUCGCGGGGGAAGCGCGCAGCGUUCACGCCACCAGAGCAAACACCGACAUGCUCAGAGUAGAAUAGCGGGUCGGAACGCGGCAGUGGAGGGUUCGAUACCCGGACGACAGGAGGUGGCGGAGGGGAAGCAACGAAAUACAGUCUCUGUAAACUGAAGGACGCGCGAGGAGAGACGCCACGCGCCCUUCCAACCCAUUUAACCCCCACGAACACGUCAGCGCGCGCGCGCGGACGCUGCGCUGUCACCUUUCCAGAAAUAGAGCGCGCGGGGUCCAGCCGAGCUCAGGUGCUUGCCACGCGCGUGGGUGGAAGGAAAAGAAGAAGAAGAAGAAGAAGCGGGAGCCGCGCGACUCGAGGAGCAGCAGAUAAGCGACGGGAGCUGAAGGAGGCUCCGCGGAGCGAAACUUCUCCCCGUUUGUUCUACAGGUUGCGCCGUCGAGGAGCGCCUCAUUCCCGGCGUCCGCGGGAUCCGUCCGCCGCCCGGAGGCUGACGGUGCCGCAUUGCAACAGGCGGAGGAGCAGAAGGAGGAGACGCAGGAGGAGGAACGCUAAUCCGCCCGCUUGGUUAUCUGAGAACACGGAACAGAAACAAUUACCAGAAUUAAGAGAGAAAGUAGUGCGGGAGCGGCGAUGUCCAGAAGAAAGCAGGCCAAACCGCGCUCCGUUAAAGCGGUUGAAGAAGGAGAGUCCUCGGAAGGUGGAGGGACCUGGGACGAGACGGUUGUCCAGACAGAUUUAUUUCUGCAUCUGUUGACAAACACCUCGCUGUCUUCGGGUUCAUGAAGCUGCUGAGACCUGCAAACAAUCCUGCUCAUUAUCUUCCCUCAUGGGACUCGCAGGGACACAUUUUCUGCACGUCGCCCGUCCAGACAGACCUGCGAGAGAGAACUACAAUUAAGGACUUUAUUUCUGCAUUCGUGAGGCCGCAACUAAUGAUAAAACAGAAAAGAUUGCAUCUGUUGUAAAUUCAACAGGUGCAAUAAUAUCACC